UUAUGGAGAGUUUGAUCCUGGCUCAGGACGAACGCUGGCGGCGUGCCUAAUACAUGCAAGUCGAGCGGAGCACUUCGGUGCUUAGCGGCGGACGGGUGAGUAACACGUAGGCAACCUGCCUAUAAGACUGGGAUAACUAUCGGAAACGAUAGCUAAGACCGGAUAACUGAUUUUCUCGCAUGAGAGAAUCAUGAAACACGGAGCAAUCUGUGGCUUAUAGAUGGGCCUG
rnacentral:rRNA from 2 species